CACUGUCAUGAUCGUGUGCAGGAUUGGACAAAACAAGAUGGCAGACGGCAGUUCCAAACAAAGGUAUCAAGCCCAAGAACUUCAUUCCAUGAGAUGGAUACACUUCGAAUGUGCGAAAUUUGUGGUGAGGAAUUCAAGACCAAUUCUGAAUUGCGUAGGCAUGUAAAAAGGAACCAUCAAUCAGAGAAAUUGUCUUCGUUUGUGACGAGUGCAACACACGCUUUUGCAGAUUAUAAAAGAAACAUGAAGUAAAAAAAAAUUACAUUGUUUUCUGAAUACACGAAGUGCAUACAUAUACCAUGGCAGCCGUUUUAUAUAUCCGUUUAUGUACAUUAUGAAACGAUUAUUUUUACGGUAUUAUGCUUUGUUUUACUGAGAUACUCCUAAUCUUUUACAUUGCAUUUUACACAUGUUGAUUUGUUAUUUCAUUGAACCAGAAGUGUUCUUAAUUUUUACUUGUUAUUAAAUAUAUUUCAAUG